rnacentral:rRNA from 1 species
AUUGAACGCUGGCGGCAGGCCUAACACAUUCAAGUCGAACGAGUGGCGGACGGGUGAGUAAUGUCUGGGAAACUGCCUGAUGGAUGGGGAUAAUUAAUGGAAAGCGUAGCUAACACCUCAUACCCUCGGAUGUGCCCAGAUGGGAUUAGCUAGUAGGUGGGGUAAAGGCUCACCUAGGCGCCGAUCCCUAGCUGGUCUGAGAGGAUGACCAGGCACACUGGAAAUGAGACACGGUGCAGUCUCCGACGGGAGGCAGCAGUGGGGAAUAUUGCACAAUGGACUCAAGCCUGAUGCAGCCAUGCCGCGUGUGUGGAGCAGGUCUUCGGGUUGUAAAGCACUUUCAGCUAGGAGGCGUUACUCGCAGAAGAAGCACCGGCUAACUCCGUGCCAGCCGCCGCGGUAAUAC